rnacentral:rRNA from 1 species
UCUGGUAUUGAUUGGUGCUUGCAUCAUGAUUUACAUUUGAGUGAGUGGCGAACUGGUGAGUAACACGUGGGAAACCUGCCCAGAAGCGGGGGAUAACACCUGGAAACAGAUGCUAAUACCGCAUAACAACUUGGACCGCAUGGUCCGAGUUUGAAAGAUGGCUUCGGCUAUCACUUUUGGAUGGUCCCGCGGCGUAUUAGCUAGAUGGUGAGGUAACGGCUCACCAUGGCAAUGAUACGUAGCCGACCUGAGAGGGUAAUCGGCCACAUUGGGACUGAGACACGGCCCAAACUCCUACGGGAGGCAGCAGUAGGGAAUCUUCCACAAUGGACGAAAGUCUGAUGGAGCAACGCCGCGUGAGUGAAGAAGGGUUUCGGCUCGUAAAACUCUGUUGUUAAAGAAGAACAUAUCUGAGAGUAACUGUUCAGGUAUUGACGGUAUUUAACCAGAAAGCCACGGCUAACUACGUGCCAGCAGCCGCGGUAAUACGUAGGUGGCAAGCGUUGUCCGGAUUUAUUGGGCGUAAAGCGAGCGCAGGCGGUUUUUUAAGUCUGAUGUGAAAGCCUUCGGCUCAACCGAA